GGCGGACAAAAGGGCGGCGGCACCUGCAACUCACCAUCGGAGAGGGGGAAAGAAAAGUUAGGCAGACCAAAGUGCAGAAAAAGGUGAAGAAGUCAAGACAAGGAACUUGGUGGUAGGUGAACUCUGCAAACCAGGUGAAUACCACAAGCGGUCUUGGUCUGAGCUGCUUGGAGCUCCUCCAAGGAGCACAAGGACAGGCUGUUGUGACAAGAGGUGGGGAUAAGACCUUGGAGGUAGCUGCAUGGGUCAGGCCUGAGCAAACCUGCUGGGAAGAUUCCAACUCUUGCGCUAUUCCAGCUCCAGGCAGUAACUGGAAAGUUUCUGGGAGGUUAAAAUAAUACCCAGGACUGUACCUCCUCUGGGGUGAGGAGUGCCCACCCGCAGACGGCUUGUCACCCCUUCCGUGUCUGCAACUGCAGUUCCUUGGAAUGUCAAGAAUAACGAUCGCAGAAUGCCCAAAUGAAAGACUCGUACCCCAGCAAGAGUGACCAGGCACUAGUGUAAAUCUGCAGCACUUCCCUGGGGAGCCUCCAAGAGAGCCUGUCUCUGCCCCGACGCAGAAAG